rnacentral:rRNA from 1 species
UGGUGACGAUAGCAAAGAGGACACACCCGUUCCCAUCUCGAACACGGAAGUUAAGCUCUUUAGCGCUGAAGAUACUUGGUGGGAGACUGCCUGGGAAAAUAGGACGUUGCCAG